GCGUGCUGGAGCUGCAUGUCAUCACAAGUUUCUCAUAUCAAUAACUCAAUAUAAAUGAUGAAAUGAGAAAGCAAAGGAUUUUGAGUGCAAAGCAAGAAGUGAUUAGCUUUUGCUUUCAGUUUCAAUUGCAGACUCCAAAACCAAUCACUCAUUUUCAUCCCACCCAAAUUCCCAUCUUGUUACCCUGAGGUCUGCUUCCUCAGGCUAAGUUUAUUGGUGGUAAUCAGCACAUGUUAAGAAUUUGUUUUUCCCCUAUGAUAAGUAAAAGCUUAUUUUGAAAAACAAUGGGUACAAUGAAGAGUUUGUUCAUGAACUAUACAGAUGAGAACAUUUACCUUCUGGAAGUAAAUACCCUUUGC
rnacentral:misc_RNA from 1 species